GAAAACCAAAAACCAAAAUCCAAAAUCUAAAAACCAAAAACUAAAAUCUAAAAACCAAAAAAGUAGAAAGUAUUGAAACAAUCAUCACCUUAGUGAUUUCUGUUCUUUCUCUGCCUAAACAAACCCAUCUUUUUCUUCUCCGUGAAAAGACUUUGCGAUGCGCGUUUCCAGGGAUAGAGAGCAGUUUAUCAAAGGAUUUGGCCGUGGCUCUAAAUGACUCUGAAUCCCCACAGUGGUGGAUUUUUUAAGCGAGAAGGGAUCACUUUCGGGCACUAAGUGUUGUUUCCACUGAAUUUCUGCUUUCUCAAGUGUAGGUGAUCUGACAAGGCGAAGCUUCAUGGAGAGCUUGAUGAAGAAGACAGGGGCUAAGAGUCCUUUGGUACUUUCUUAUACCUUUGGUGAUACUGGAAGAAGACAGAUGGAGUUGGUUCAGAAGCAAGGGAAGAGAGAUAGAUGAGAAGCUUGAUGGUGGUGGAAGAGCAGAGAUGUCAAGGAUGAUUGUGAAGGGUUAUUAGUGGUAGAUUGAUAGUAUGUUUGAUUGGUUUUGAUUGUUUGUGUAAAGAAAAAAAUGUUUUAUGGUUUUGUAAACAUGUAAAUAUUUAUUAGUUUUUACAAAUAUUUGAAAUAUAUAUUACAUUAAAAAAUCAAUUCGUAAUUA